rnacentral:rRNA from 1 species
UACAGAGGUGGCAAGCGUUGUUCGGAAUUACUGGGCGUAAAGGGCGCGUAGGCGGCCAUCUAAGUCAGACGUGAAAUCCCCCGGCUUAACCUGGGAACUGCGUCUGAUACUGGACGGCUCGAGUUUGGGAGAGGGAUGUGGAAUUCCAGGUGUAGCGGUGAAAUGCGUAGAUAUCUGGAGGAGCACCGGUGGCGAAGGCGGCAUCCUGGACCAACACUGACGCUGAGGCGCGAAAGCUAGGGGAGCAAACGGG